CUUCACAGUGUGCCAUGCUGAAAGGUGCAGGAAUGUACGAAACGAUACAGGGGAGCCAACGGAAUUAGAUGUAUGCAGAGGUAACAGUUCUAUUGGCUCAUAUCAACUCUGACAAGAUCACCUCUUUGUGUGUAUUGAUUAACAUAUAAUCCAUAGGAAGCCUCAUAGCCCAGAACCGUCCAGUGAAAUGAAGCAGCCCCAAACUGACUCAUUUAUUACCUAUUCAUUUGCUGUGAUGAAAUCUCCAGGAGCAAAAAAAAAAGCUGCAGUAUAGAAAUGUUUAAACAUUAAUACCUAUUCUGAUCAACUGAAAUUAUUCCUUAAACUGAGAACCAUAAACAAAAUGUAUAUAGCUUGCAUAAAUGAUCACCAAGAUUCUGUUUUUAAAAAAAUUAUUUUGCUAAGAAACAAGAUCAAAUUCUUUGAA